ACCCCGAUCCCAAGCACCAUGGAGCCGACGAUUUGGAUCAAGACCUACAUCCCAAGCACCAAGGUGCCUGGUUGAUAUGGAUCGCGAUCCCGAUCUGGAGCUCCAGGGCGCCGAGGAUUUCGAUCACGAUCCCGAUCUGAAGCACCGAGUAGCCGAGGAUAUGGAUCAAGACCCCGGUCCGAAGCGACAAGGAGGCAAGGAUUUGGAUCACCACUCCGAUCAAAGGCACCAAGGCGUCGAGGGAUUGGAUCGAGAUCCCGAUCCCAAUCAUGAAGUUGGCUAUGUAAUUUCCUGUUUUCCACACCGUUCAGGGCAUUUUGGUGGUCGUAUCGGCUUUUAGUUGCUUGCUUGGUGUUAGUGCCAGGGGAGUGGUUGGAAGCUAGGUCGUCCUCUGGAAUGCUUGUUGUAAAGGUGUAUGAGUUGUGUUUGGCUUGUUACGGGUGUUUGUUGGCUGCUUGUGCAGGAACUUUCAUGCGUCCAAGCCUCUUCAGUUGUGCUACAAGGCCUUGUUUGUCUUGUGCAUACGGUGGGUUUCCUGUGUUGCAUACCUAAUCAAGGGCAUCGUAUGGCUUGAUCGAAGUAAAUAUUCGUAAUGCGCCGCUUGCGGCGUUGCACGAACCUCGAAGUGGUCUCUGUGGCCCAUGUUGUCUUUGCUCACGUAUGGAUGGCAUGGCCCUCGGAGCGUCGCUUGGUCUCUUGGAUACGGAACCUGAUGAUGUGGGCGGUAGGGUCUUGGAUGAUUCUACCUUCGC
rnacentral:misc_RNA from 1 species